rnacentral:tmRNA from 1 species
GGGUCCGUAAAGGUUUCGACGGGGAUUUUCAAGCAGGAUAAGCGUGGCGUGCCGGGCAAUCACGGAAAAGGCCCAACCUUAAAAUUAAACGCUAACGAUAACAACGUAGCACUGGCUGCCUGACGGCAGUGCCGCGGCUAUUAGCCGCCCGUUCACCGGGGAGGACCACGACCCCGUGCUGAGCGUCAAGCAGUGGUGAACAUGAACCGGGAUUUCGCACUUGUACCGGUCAUGCAUCAAAGGGCUACCGGAGAGCGGAGGCUGUCUGCUGCCGCCGUUCAAAGGGAAUUCUAAAUAACAGACUGUCCACGAAGAAAGUCCUGCCGCGAGGUUUUCGGACAGGGGUUCGAUUCCCCUCGGAUCCACCA